GGAGCCGUAGCGAAAGCGAGUUUUAACUGAGCGUUCCGUUACUUGACGUAGACCCGAAACCUGACGACCUACCCAUGAGCAGGAUGAAGCGAAAGUAAAAUUUCGUGGAGGUCCGAACCCACGAGCGUUGAAAAGCUCGGGGAUGACUUGUGGGUAGCGGUGAAAUUCCAAUCGAGCCCGGAGAUAGCUGGUUCUCCCCGAAAUAGCUUUA
rnacentral:rRNA from 1 species